rnacentral:lncRNA from 1 species
UUAGGAUUUGGAUUAGGGUUUAAUUUAAGAUUUAGGGUUUUAUUUAGGAUUUAGGAUUUGGAUUAGGAUUUGGUUUAGAGUUUAGAAUUUAGAUAGGAUUUGGUUUAGGGUUUAGGAUUUAGAUAGGAUUUGGUUUAGAAUUUAGGGUUUGGAUUAGGGUUUGAUUUAAGGUUUAGGAUUUAGAUAGGAUUUGAUUUAGGAUUUAGGAUUUGGUUAGGGUUUGAUUUAGGGUUUAGGAUUUGGAUUACGGUUUGGUUAGGAUUUAGGGUUUGGAUUAGGGUUUGAUUUAGGAUUUACUUAGGAUUUGAUUUAGGGUUUAGGAUUUUAUUAGGAUUUAAGAUUUAAUUAGUUUUACUUAAAGUUUGAAUGAAGUUCAAUAGGAUUUAACUAGAAUUAAAUUAAGAUAGAAUUGAGAUGUAUUUGAAUGACAUUUAUAUUCUUUCUAAUGUUUCUUUAGAAAUUCCUAUUAUUUGUUUGAAAUUUCUUUGAGAUUUUUUUGAAUUUGAUUAAGCUUGCUUAGCAUUAUUAUAGUCUAAUUA